rnacentral:lncRNA from 1 species
ACCGGCUUUACAAGAAUUUAUCGCACUAAUUUAUUCGUUGAGCUCUAAACGAUAUUCUUGAUGUCGCCGUUGUCUGUUGAGUGUCUUCAAUCUUGAUUUCACUUGAUUCACUUGCAUAAAUAUUAUCCUUAAAAAACUAGUGAAAAUGUAAAAUACAAUAUUUAUUAUAUCACUCAAUACAUAUGUUUGUUAUCAUCAAAAUUAUAUUAUUUAUAGACCUUUAGGCUAACAAUCUCCCCUUUUUGAUGAUGACAAACAUCUCAUGUAUUUUGACAUUUGUACUCCCCCUUAAUACAUGGCAUAUAUAAUUAAACAUAUAAAUCAAAUUCAAAACAAAAACUCCCCCUGAAUAUUUGAUUUAUGAUAAUUUGUAAGCUCCCCCUUAAUAUUUCAAAACCAUGCAUAAAUAUUUAAAAUACAAAAUACGUAUUAUAAGUCUUCAUGUUCAAAAUACAUGACUUCUCCCCCUUCAUCAUCAAAAUUAUUAGAAAUUCAUGCUAAGGUCAAUAAUAUGUUAAUGAUCAUGAACCAUCAUGCCAUCAAAAGAAUGCUCAAAAUAAAUUUUAUCCAAAAUCAUAUUGUAUGCUCCCCCUAAAUAUAUGGCCAAUUAAAAAAUUUAACCAAAAUGAUAUUAUCCAAAAACAUAUCAUAUUUAUCUCCCCCUAAAUAAGAAAAUAGAUAGAUGUAAUCGAAACAAGAGCAUAAAAAAUAAUUUGAUAAGGAUAUUACCAAUUUUGUGCGAGGAAAAAUUUCAGCAGCGUCUCCCCUUAAAAUGCACAAAUCCUCAAAUACAUAAUGUGAUUAAUAACACUUCCUUAUAAGCUUAAACAAUUAUAACAAACCAACAACUCCAUUAAUUUUUCAAGCGACACAUAUCAAAUUCAAUAUGAAUCCAUGUUUAUACCAAAAAGAAUGUCUCAAUGAUUAAUCAAGAACCAUAUAAAAAUAAAGCAUGCAAUUAAUCCAAAGAGUCAUAUUCAUUAUUCAGAAAAUAUCAUCCAAAUAUAAAUUAUCGAGAUAUUAAACAACCAUCAUCCGUAAUCCACAAUUAAAACAAUUAUGCAUAUGAAAAUAUAGGUGCAUAAUAUAAUAAAGAACCAUAGUAAUUUAAAAUACCCAAAAUGCACAAAUUCGGUUUUGUAAAAUAAUGAGUGAAAUGGAUUAUUUUAAACCGAUUAUAUUUAUCCAAGAGAAGAUUUAAGAUAAUGGAUGGUGUUGAUAUGAACUCCGUAUUAUCUCCAUAAUUGUCCUUACAUCUCUUGGCAACUUGUUUGCUCAUGAUUUAUUACCAUCCACCAUUGUUGGAACAAAAACAAGCUUAAAGAUCCAAUUUCGGGUUUACAAAAAUUGAGUGAAAUGGAUUUGUUUGAGCCAAGAAAAUUGAUCCUAGAGAUGAAUGAAGCUAAUAUAUGAUGUAGAUUGGAUAAAAAAUGGGCUAAAGGAAGCUUGAAAAUGUAGAGAGAGAAACAAGUAGAGUUAGGUUUUUGAUUUUGGGUUUUAUGUGGAGAGUUGAUGAAAUGAAGUUUUGAGAACGAAAAUUGAAGGAGUAAUGGAUGAAUAAUGAUUUGGAUGAUUGAUUUUAACAAGAAAAUGAGUGAAAGAUGAAGAAACAGUUUUCCAAGCGGCUAGCCGCCUGGUUGCUGUCCACUUGCACUCUACUUGCUUUUCGGCUUGUUUCUAUCAAUUCCGUGAUCAUUUUGUGAUCCCGAAACAUCUCAAGAGCCAAUUUAAUGCACAAUUCAUGAUUUUAAACAUCCAAAAGAUAAUUAAUUCAAACAAAUAAUCCAUCCAUCAAGCAUACAAUCAUGAAGCAUAUAAGCAUUCAAAACUUAAUAAAAUGCAGAAAGGUCAAAUUCGGAAUAAAAACUGUAUUGAUUGAGCCAGAAGUAACAUGCCAGCUAUAUACCGUUGGAAAGAUAAUUAAGUUAGCUUUCCAAUAAAUUUUACAGAGCUGGAUUUGGAGUUCUCUAGAAGGAGUUAUGACCAAUUCAUUACAGCUUGUGCAGACUUGGGAUUUUCACAAUAAUUAAACAUAUAAGCAUUCAAAAGUUAAUAAAUCAAACACACCACUUAACUAUCAUGCUUAAACACUUCAUAAACAUUAACAUCAAACAAAUCCAUCAUGAUGAGUUGAUAAGCUAUCAUCAUAUAUAAAUAACCUUGCAUCAUGAUAAAACACUCAAUGUUAAAUACAAUGAUAAUUCAAUCAUGUAAACAUACAAGCAUACUUUCACAAAUUCAUUUAUCAUGAUUCAUUUAACAAAAUUAAUAUGGCAAGAAUUGUUACCAAAACAAUUAAAUCAUCUUGCCUCAUCUUUUUCUCCUAGAUCAUACUCAAGUGAUUAUCCUCACAAGCUUUCAUCAAGGAACUCUCCACCAUUCCUUGAUUGUGGUACCUACAAAGAAAAUAGUCACGGAUUUUAACAAGAAAAUGAGUGAAAGAUGAAGAAAUUUGAGGAAGAAAAUAGUGAGCACUAUUCAUGCGGGAAUGGAAUGAGGAUGGAAUAAUGAAGAACAAGUGAAGAAAUCAUGAUGGAGAAGUGUUUAAUGAAGAUAAAAUGCAUGGGUAUUAGUUUGAAUGGUUGAUUUGGGCAUGAAAAUGGAUGAAAAAGGAAGAAAAUGGAGGUGAAAAUGGAUAGGUUGCUCACGGUUUUGAGAGAGAGGAAGAACAAGUGCAGAAAAAUAACGAAGGAAGGAGAAUGAGCAAAAAACAAUA